rnacentral:rRNA from 1 species
GUCUACGGCCAUGCCACCCUGAACAAGCCCGAUGUCGUCUGAUCUCGGAAGCUAAGCAGGGCUGGGCCUGGUUAGUACUUGGAUGGGAGACCACCUAGGAAGACCAGGUGCUGUAGGUG